CUUGGAUAAGGAUUUCCUCAUGCCAAUUGAGGAUGUUUUCUCUAUAUCUGGGCGUGGUACUGUUGUCACUGGACGUAU
rnacentral:tRNA from 1 species